UCGUCACUUUUAAUAUCUGGGAGGGUGAAUCAGUCUGAAGCGCACCACCAACAAGUAAACAGCAGAGUUUUUUUUUCGCCCCAUUUUUAGCAUUGUUUUGCAUUAAAAAAAUGGCUGAACAGGAAAAUCAAGAUACUCAGGAAACUAGUACCCCCAACGCAGAUGGUUCAGUCGAACUAAAGUUAACAAUUCCCAUCCAGCAUUUACAAGAGCUUUUGCGUAAACUCCCGGUCCAGGCGACUCGCAUUAAGUGAUGUCGUCAAUUUUUGAGGGAAAGAUGUCGAUAGACAGCUUCUCGUUUCAACAAUUUUAGAGGAAAAAACAUCAUUUUGGCUGAAAAUAACCAUAGUAAUACCUCCCACACACUUUUCUUUUCCAAAACCAUUGCAAAUCUCCCUACACUCCGGUCAUCUCCCACAGAUUAUUUAUAAUCAAAUGAUGAGAAAUAUCGAAGUGGUGAUUCAUAGUAACAUACGAAACAGAAAAAAAACACUGCAUAAAAAAAUGGGGCGAAAAACAAGCUUCAGACUCAACCUUAAGGUGCAAAAUUGGUGUAACUCUGCUGUGAUAUUUUUUAAAACAAACAAGACUAGUAUUUUUA